GAUGAACGCUAGCGGCAGGCCUAAUACAUGCAAGUCGAGGGGUAGUGGUUGCUUGCAGCCAUGAGACCGGCGCACGGGUGCGUAACGCGUAUGCAACCUACCUUCAUCUGGGGGAUAGCCCGGAGAAAUCCGGAUUAAUACCGCAUAAAAUCACAGUACGGCAUCGUACAAUGAUCAAACCUUUAUGGGAUGGAGAUGGGCAUGCGUGUCAUUAGUUAGUUGGCGGGGUAACGGCCCACCAAGACCGCGAUGACUAGGGGAUCUGAGAGGAUGACCCCCCACACUGGUACUGAGACACGGACCAGACUCCUACGGGGGGCAGCAGUAAGGAAUAUUGGUCAAUGGGCGCAAGCCUGAACCAGCCAUGCCGCGUGCAGGAAGACGGCCCUCUGGGUUGUAAACUGCUUUUAUUCGGGAAUAAACCUGCUUACGUGUAAGUAGCUGAAUGUACCGAAGGAAUAAGGAUCGGCUAACUCCGUGCCAGCAGCCGCCGCGGUAA
rnacentral:rRNA from 1 species